CCUACGGGAGGCAGCAGUCGAGAAUCAUUCACAAUGGGGGAAACCCUGAUGGUGCGACGCCGCGUGGGGGAAUGAAGGUCUUCGGAUUGUAAACCCCUGUCAUGUGGGAGCAAAUUAAAAAGAUAGUACCACAAGAGGAAGAGACGGCUAACUCUGUGCCAGCAGCCGCGGUAAUACAGAGGUCUCAAGCGUUGUUCGGAAUCACUGGGCGUAAGGCGUGCGUAGGCUGUUUCGUAAGUCGUGUGUGAAAGGCGCGGGCUCAACCCGCGGACGGCACAUGAUACUGCGAGACUAGAGUAAUGGAGGGGGAACCGGAAUUCUCGGUGUAGCAGUGAAAUGCGUAGAUAUCGAGAGGAACACUCGUGGCGAAGGCGGGUUCCUGGACAUUAACUGACGCUGGGGCACGAAGGCCAGGGGAGCGAAAGGGAUUAGAUACCCCAGUAGUC
rnacentral:rRNA from 1 species